CUGUUGCUGUAUUGGACACUUGCUCCCAUCUACUUUCUUCUCUAGAAUCCACGGGAAUACAGAACACUGCUGCUGGAGUCUGAAUGUUUGUCACUCACAUAGAAUUCCAGAACACUGCUGCGAGGAUCUGAAUGUUUGACCCUCACAUGGGAUUCCAGAACACUGCUGCGAGGGUCUAAAUGCCUGUCCCUCACAUAGGUUUCCAGCACAAUGUUACGAGGUUCUGAAUGUUUGUCCCUAACAUAGGAUUCCAGAGCACUCCUGCUGUGCUCUGAAUGCUUCUCCCUCACAUAGGAUUCCAGAACACUGCUAUGAGGGUCUGAAUGCUUAUACCUCAUAUAGGAUUCCAGAACACUCCUGCUGUGGUCUGAAUGUUUGUUCCUCACAUAGGAUUCCAGAACACUCCUGCCGUGGUCUGAAUGUUUGUCACUCACAUAGGAUUCCAGAACAUUCAUGCUGGGGUCUCAAUGUUUCCCUUAACAUAGGAUUUCAGAACACUGCUCUUGGGGUCUGCAUGUUUGUCCCUCACAUAGGAUUACAGAACACUGCUGCUGGAGUCUGAAUGUUUGUCAGUCACAUAGAAUUCCAGAACACUGCUACAAGGGUGUGAAUAUUUUUCCCUCACCUAGUAUUCCAGAACACUGUUGCAAGGGUCUGCACGUUGGUCCGUCAUAUAGGAUUCCAGAACACUGCUGCUGUGGUCUGAAUGUUUGUCCCUCACAUAAAAUUCUGGAACACUGCUACAAGGGUCUGAAUGUUUGUCCUUCACAUACCAUUCCAGAACACUGCUGCCGUGGUCUGAAUGUAUGUCCCUCACAUAGGAUUCCAGAACACUGCUACUAGGUUCUGAAUGUUUUUCCCACACCUAGGAUUCCAGAACACUUCUGCUGGUGUCUGAAUGGUUGUCCCUCACAUAUGAUUCCAGGACACUGCUAUGAGAGUCUUAAUGUUUGUCCUUCACAUAGAAUUCCAGAACACUGCUCCCGUGGUCUGAAUGUUUGUCCCUCACAUAGGAUUCCACAACACUACUGCUGGGGUCUGAAUGUUUGGCCCUCACAUAGGAUUCUAGAACACUCCAGCUGGCUUCUGAGUGUUUGUCCCUCACAUAGGAUUCCUGAAGACUGCUGCUGUCGCUAUAGUCGUUGAGAGUGUCUGAAUGUUUGACCUUCACCAAACACCAAAUAUCCUGGCCCUUUAGUCUUGUACUUUCCAGCCUCCAGAUCUGUGAACAAUAAUCUCUGUUGUUUAUGAAUUACUCAGUCUGAAGUAUUUUGUUAUAGUAGCCUAAAGAGACUAAGAGAGCAUCACCUGCCCUGUCACCUCAUCACCGCAUUACUGAAGCUAUACUAACAACAGUCACUUUUAGUGGGUACUUCAUGCAUCAGAAUAAAGGGAAAAAAUUGCAAGGCUUACUAAAAUCCAAAAAAAGAAAAAAAUACAAUUUGUGUCAACAGAGCAAGCUUCAGAAGCAGACAAAGAUAUGAUCUUGGAAUUUUUUUUUAAACCUCUGGAGAAUAUGCUAAGGGCCUAAUGAAUGAAGUAGACAGUAUUCAAGUGUAGAUGGGUAAUGUAAUGAGAAAGACAGACAUCGUAAGAACUUUCAACAUAAUGUAGUGAUGAAAAACGUGGUAAAUAACUGAAGAAUACCUCUGAUGGCUUAUUAGUAGACUGGACUCAGCUGAGUAAAAAUCUCUGAGCUUGAGGAUUUAUCAUCAGAAACUUCGAAAACUAAAGAAAAGAAACACUGAAAAGAACAGAAGAUGAUAUUCAAGACUGUGGGACAACUACAAAAGGUGAAACAGUAAUGAGAAUACCAAGAGGAGAAGAAAUAGAAGAAAGUUCUGCAACAACCAUGUCUGAGAACUUCCAGUAUUAAUGUCAGACACCAAACCAAAGAUCCAGGAAGCUCUGAGAACACCAGGCAGAAUAAAUACCAACAACCUACACUUGGACAUAUAAUUUUCAAACUAUAUGAAAUAAAAGAUAAAGGAAAACUCUGAAAGAAACCAGAGGUGGGGCAGAAAACACCUUACCUACAGAGACACAAAGAUAAGAACUGCAUUCAACAUUUCAGAAACUGUGAAAGUAAGAAGACAGUGAAAUGAAAAAUUCAAAAUGUUGACAGAAAAAACCCACCAACCUAAGUUUCUGUACCCACUGAAACCACCCUUCAAAAGUGAAGGAGAAUUAAGGCCUUCCUCAGAAAAAUAAAAAUUCAAGAAACUUGUUGCCAGGAGACCUGUCUUGCAAGAAAUGUUAAAUGAAAUUCUUUAGGGAAACAAAAGAUAUAUAACUGAAACCUGGAUCAACAUUUUUUUAAAAAGAGCAUUAAAGAAAGAAUUGUGGUACAAUAAAAACCUAUGUAUUUAUUCUUAAUUGAUCUGACCAAGAAGAUCAUAGACAAUAACAAAUACAGAUAUAUUAUGUAUGCUUAUAUACAAUUGAAAUGAGUAACACUAAUACAAGGAAUGGAAUGGAAGGAUGGUAGGGAGGCAUUGUGGUACAAUAAAAACAUGUAUUUAUUCAUAAUUGAUCUGACCAAUAAGUUUGUAGAUAAUAAUAAAUACACACAGAUAGAUUAUGCAUGCUUAUACACAAGUGAAAUAAGGAACAAUAAUACAAGGAAUGGAAUGGAAGGAUGGGAGGGAGGAAUCAGGUGUUUUCUUUGUUAAGCAGGUAGUCACCCGUGAAGUGGGAUAGUGUUAUCUGAAAGUGGACUUGAAUUGGUUGUAAAUGUAUAUUGAGGAAUUAGGUGUGUUCUUUGUUAAGCAGGUAGUCUUAUUUGUGGGAUAGUGGGAUAGUGUUAUUUGAAAGUGGACUUGAAUUGGUUGUAAAUGUUACUGAGGAAUUAGGUGUUUUGUUUGUUAAGCAGGUAGUCUUAUUUGUGGGAUAGUUGGAUAGUGUUAUUUGAAAGUGGACUUGAAUUGGUUGUAAAUGUAUAUUGCAAAUUCUGUGGCAACUAGUUAAAAAAAAGUUUUAAAAAGAGAAGUAUGUACUAAGAAAGACAGGGAAAAUGGAGUCAUCUAAAAUCAUCAAUGAAAACUGCAAAAGGCAGAAAAAGAGUGGUAGACAAAAGAAUGAAGACUGAGGAGAAUGAAUAGAAAACAGUAACAAAUAUAGUAGAUAUUAAUCCAAUGAUAUCAAUAAUCACUUUGAAUGUUAAUGGUAUGAAUGUACCAAUUCAAAGGUAGAGAUUGUCAGAGUCUAUCAAAAGACAGACACAUCUUGUUUCACUGCACUUUGCUUUAUUGUGUUUUGUGACCAUGUGUUUUACGUAUUGAAGGUUUGUGGCCACCCUGCAAUAAGCAGGUCUCACUGGCACCAUUGUUCCUACAGCACGUGCUCACUUCACGUCUCUGUGUCACAUUUCGGUCAUUCUCACAGUAUUUUAAGAUUUUUAUUAUUGAAUCUGUUGUGGUGAUCUGUAAUCAGUAAUCUUUAAUGCUACUGUUGUCAUUGUUUUGGGAACCACAAAUCACACCAGGAUAAGACAGCAAACAAUUGACAAAUGCGUUUGUUCUGACUGCCCAACCAACGGGCCAUUUCUCUUUCUCUUUUUCUCAGGCUUCUUUUUAUUAAUAUUAAAAUGUGGCCAAUUAAUAACCCUACAAUAGCCUCUAUAUGUUCAUGAAAGAAGAGUUGCAUGUCUGUCACUUUAAACCAAAAGGAAGAAAUAAUUAAGCUUAGUGAGGAAGGCAUGCUGUAAGCAAGACAGGCCAGUAGCUAGACCUCAUGCAACAAACACUUAGCCAAGUUGUGAAUGCAAACGAAGUGUUCUGGAAAGAAAUUUAAAGUACUGCUCCAGUGAACACAUGAAUGAUAAAAAGCUAAACAAUCUUGCUGCUGUUAUGAAGAAAGUUUAAUUGGUCUAGAUAGAAGAUGAAAAAAAAACAAAAAACAUUCCAUUAAGCCUAAGCCUAACUCUCUUUUUACUUUUUUUUCUUUUUUUUUGAGACAGAGUUUCAUUCUUCUUGCCCAAGCUGGAGUGCAAUGGCGUGAUCUUGGCUCAUCGCAACCUCUGCCUCCCAAGUUCAAGCCAUUCUCCUGCCUCAGCAUCCCAAGUAGCUGGGAUUACAGGCAAGCACCACCACACCUGGCUAUUUUUUUGUAUUUUUAGUAGAGACGGGGUUUCUCCACAUUGGUCAGACUGGUGUCGAACUCCCGACCUCAGGUGAUCUGCCCGCCUCGGCCUCCCAAAGUGCUAGGAUUACAGGUGUGACAGCCACCGCACCCGGCCUCUCUUCAAUUCUAUGAAGACUUAGAGUGGUGAGGCAGCUGCAGAAGGAAAGUCUGAAGCUAGAAGAGCUUGUUUCUUGAGGUUUAAGGAAAAAAGUCAUCUCCAUAACAUAAAAGCGCAAGAUAAAGCAGCAAGUACUGAUGGAAAAGCUGCAGAAAGCUAUCUAGAAGAUAACUGAUUAAGAUGGCAACACUAAAUAGAUUUGCAAUGGAGACAAAACAGCCUUCUACUAGAAGGAGAUGCCAUCUAGGAUGUUCCCAGCUAGAGAGGAGUUGAUGCCUGGCUUUAAGGCUUCAAAGGACAUGCUGACUCUUUUGUUAAGGGCUAAUGCAGUUGGUGAUGUUAACUUGAAACCAAUGAUGAUUUACUAUUCUGAAAAUCCAAGGGCCCUGAAGAAUUAUGAUAAAACACAGCUCUGUCUGUACUCUACAAAUGGGAACAAAGCCUGGAUGACAGACUAUCGGCUUACAAAUAUGGUUUACUGAAUAUCUGAAGCCCACUGUUGACACCUACUGCUCAAGAAAUAAGAUUCCUUUCAAAGUAUUACCGCUCACUGACAAUGCCCCUGGUACUCAAGGGCUUUUACAGAGAUGUACAAAGAGCUGAAUAUUGUUUUCAUGCCUACUAACCCAACAUUCAUUCUGGUGCCCUUGGAUCAAAGAAUAAUUUCAACUUUCAAGUCUUAUCACUUAAAAAUAUAUUUCAUAAAGCUAUAACUUCUCUAGAAAGUGAUUCCUUUGAUGGAUCUGGGCAAAAUAAUUGAAAACCUACUGGAAAGGAUUCACCAUUCUAGAUGUCAUUGAGAACAUUCAUGAUUUAAAAAAUAAGAUCAAAAUAGCAACAUUAGGAGAAGUUGGGGCCGGGCGUGGUGGCUCACACUUGUAAUCCCAGCAUGUUGGCAGGCCAAGGCACGUGGGUCACGAGGUCAGGAAUUUGAGACCAGCCUGGCCAACAUAGUGAAAUCCUGUCUGUACUAAAAACACACAAAAAAUUAGCUGGGCCUGGUCGGGGGUGACUGUAAUCCCAAACACUUGGGAGGCUGAGGCAGAAUUGCUUGAACCUGGGAGGUGGAGGUUGCAGUGAGCUGGGAUCGCAUCACUGCACUCCAGCCCAGGCAAGACUUCAUCUCAAAAAAAAAAAAAGAGAGAGAGAGAGAGAGAGAAGUUGGGAAGAUUAUUCCAACCCUCACAGAUGACACAGGGGUUCACGACUUCUGUGGAGGAGGUAACUGCAGAUAUGGUGGAAAUAACAAGAGCACUAGAAUCAGAGACAGAGCCUGAAGAUCUGGCGAGACUGCAGCAGCCUCCGGAGAAAACGUGAGUGGAUGAGUUGCUUCCAAGGAUGAGCAAAGAAAGUGGUUUCUUGAGAUGAAAUCUACUCGUGGUGAAGACAGUGUAAACAAUGUUGAGAUGACAACAGAUUUAGAAUAAACUUAGUUGGUACAGCAGAAGGAGGGCUUGACAGGAUUGACACAAUGAUUUACAAUAAUACAUAAACUUAGUUGGUACAGCUGUACGAAGGUUUGACAGGAUUGAAUCCAAUUUGAAAGUUCUACUGUGGGUAAAAAGCUAUCAAACAACAUCGUAUGCUACAGAUAAUUCUUUUGUGAAAGGGAGAGUCAAUUGACACAGCAAACUUCAAUGGUGUCUUAUUUUAAGAAAUUGCCACAGCCACCCCAACGCUCAGCAACCACCACCUUACAUUAAGGCAAGACCCUCCAUCAGCAAGAAGACUGAAACUUGGCCAGGUGCAGUGGCUCACACCUGUCAUCCCAACACCUUGGGAGGCCAAGGUGGGUAGAUUGCUUGAGCCCAGGAAGUCAAGGCAACAUGGCAAAACCCCAUCUCUACAAAAAAAAAAAAAUACAAAAAUUAGCUGGUCAUGGUGGCAUGUAUCUGUAGUUCCAGCUAGUCAGGAGUCUGAGGUGGGGGUUUGAUUGAGCAUGAGGUUGAGACUGCAAUUACUCUAGCCUGAGCCACAGAGUAAAACCCUGUCACACACACAAAAAAAGAUUGCAGCUUUCUGAAGGCUCAGAUGACUGUUAGCACUUGUUAACAAUAAAGUAUUUGUAAAUUAAAGUGUGAACACUUUGUAGACAUAUGCUAUUGCACACUUUAUACAGCACAGUAUAAACAUACUUUUACAUGCACUGGAAAACCAAAAGAAAUUGUAUAACUCACUUUAUUGCAGUGGUCUGGAACCAAACCCACAUAUAUCUCUGAUGCAUGGCCGUCCUGUAUUGUACACUUAAAAUAAAACUUAAGAGGGUAUAUUUUAGGUGAAAUGGUCAUCUCAUUUUUUUUUUUGAGACGGAGUCUCACUCUGUUGCCCAGGCUGGAGUGCAGUGGCACGAUCUCAGCUCACUGCAAGCUCUGCCUCCCGAGUUCAUACCACUAUCCUGCCUCAGUCUCCCAAGUAGCUGGGACUACAGGUGCCCGCCAUCACGCCCAGCUAAUUUUCUGUAUUUUUAGUAGAAACGGGGUUUCACUGUGUUAGCCAGGAUGGUCUUGAUCUCCUGACCUCGUGAUCCACCCGCCUCGGCCUCGCAAAAUGCUGGGAUUACAGGCGUGAGCCACCACUCCCGGUCUCAUUUUUUAAAAAGGGUCAGAAUGAGAAAUAUAUGGGGAGUGAUGGUCAAGUUUACGGCAUUAUUUGUUGUGAUGAGUCCUGGGGCGAAUACUUAUCUCUAAACUCAUUAAGAUGUAUAUAUUCGGUGUCACACGCCUGUAAUCCCAGCACUUUGGGAGACAAAGGCAGGUGGAUCAUCUGAGGUCAGGAGUUCGAGACCAGCCUGGCCAACAUGGUGAAACCCUGUCUGUACUAAAAAAAUACAAAAAUUAGCCGGGUGUCGGGGCGCACGCCUGCGAUCCCAGCUACUCAGGAGGCUGAGGCAGGAGAAUUGCUUGAACCCGGGAGGUGGAGGUUGCAGCUAGCUGAGAUCGUGUCACUGCACUCCAGCCUGGGCAACAAGAGUAAAACCUCCGUAACACACACACACACACACACACACACACACACACACAAAGGUAUAUAUUAAAUAUGUGUAAUUUUUGUAUGUCAACCACACCUUAGUUUUAUUUUAUUUUAUUUUAUUUGAGACAGAGUCUCGCUCUGUCACCCAGGCUGGAGUCCAGUGGUGCAAUCUCAGCUCACUGCAAGCUCCACCUCCCAGGUUCACACCAUUCUCCUGCCUCAACUUCCGGAGUAUCUGGAACUACAGGCACCCGCCACCACGUCCGGCUAAUUUUUUGUAUUUUUAGUAGAGAUGGCAUUUCACCGUGUUAGCCCGGAUGGUCUCGAUCUCCUAACGUGAUCUGCCUGCCUCAGCUUCCCAAAAUGCUGCGAUUACAGGUGUGAGCCACCGUGCCCAGACAAUUUUUUUUUGAGUCAGAGUCUCACUCUGUCACCAAGGCUGGAGUGCAGUGGCACUAUCUUGGCUCACUGCAACCUCUGCCUCCCAUGUUCAAGCAAUUCUGCUGCCUCAGUCUCCUGAGUAGCUGGGACUACAGAUGCAUGCUAUCACGCCUGGCUAAUUUUUUGAUUUUUAAUAGAGAUGAGGUUUCACCAUGUUGGCCAGGCUGGUCUCAAACUCCUGACCUCAUGUGAUCUGCCCACCUCAGCCUCCCAAAGUGCUGGGAUUACAGGUGUAAGCCACUGCACCCGGCAAUUUUUAAAUAUAUAUAAUUAAAAAUUAAUUAAAAAAGGUAUUUGCAAGUUUCCGUUUUGUUAUAUACUUAUUAUUCUUUAUCUUUAUGUCAGGUUGCUGUGUCAAUACACUUAGGAGAUCAUAGUUUCUAAAUUGAAAUACAAAUAAAUAUGUCUCAAAUUUUUUCUUUUUUCUUUUUUUUUUGAGAUGGACUCAUUCUGUCACCCAGGCUGGAGUGCAGUGGUGCAAUCUCAGCUCACUGCAACCUCCGCCUCCCAGAUUCAAGUGAUUCUCCUGCCUCAGCCUCCAGAGUAGCUGGGAUUACAGGCACCCGCCAUGACACUCAGCUAGCUUUUAUAUAUUUUUUUUCUAUUUUUAGUAAAGACAGGGUUUCACCAUGUUGGCCAGGCUGGUCUCCAACUCCUGACCUCAGAUGAUCCUCCCACCUCGGCCUCCUCAAGUGCUGGGACUACAGGUGUGAGCCACUGUGCCUGGCCUGGAAUUUUUUUCUAAAAUUUACAUUUCUGAGUUAAGAAUGCUUAAAAUAUUAUAAAAACAGAAGCACAAUUCAUUAUGUGUUUCAUUAAUUACCUCUAUUAAAAACAACACAAUUAUAUUACAAUAGGACAAAAAAAAAUGUUUAAGCAAAUGAAAACAAAACCAUGACAUACCCAAACUCAGGAGGAGGCAACAAAGGCAGUGCUAAAGGGAAGCUUACAGCCACAGAUGCUUAAAUUAAAAAGAAGAAAGAUCUCAAAGCCAUGCUAAAGGGAAGCUUAUAGCUGCAGGUGAUCAAAUUAAAAAGAAGAAAGAUCUCAAAUCAAUAACCUAACAUUACACCUAAAGGGAAAAAAAAAAAAACUAAUGACAAACCAAGCAAAAGGAAGAAAAUAACAGAUUAGAACAGAGAUAAGCAGAAUAAGACCAGAAAAAAAGGAAAAAAAAAACCACUGAGUUUGUUUUUUUAAAGAUCAAUAAAAAUUUUAAAACUCACAGCUAUAUUAAGAAAAAAAGAGAAAUCUCAAAUACUAAAAUCAUAAAUAAAAGAGGUGACAGUACAACAGAUUCCACAGAAAUGAAAAAGAUUACAAGAGACUAAUGUGAGCAACCAUAUGCCACAGAACUGGGCAACCUAGAAUAAAUUUAUAAAUUCCUAGAAACACAAACCACCAUACUGCAUCAUGGAGAAAUAAAAAAUCCAAAGAGACCUGUAACUAGUAAGAAGAUUCAACCAGUAAUCAAAAACCCCCCAAAAAAGAAAAUUCCAGGUCCAGAUAACUUCACUGGAAAAUUUUACCAAACAUUUCAAGAAGAAUUAAUGCCAGCCCUUUGUAAAAUAUUCCAAAAAUGUUCAAAAACCAGAAGGGGACAUUCCAAUCCACUCUAUCAGGUCAACAUUUAUCUGGUUCCAGAGCCAGAUGAACACCUUUUGUAAUAAAAACACUCAAAGAAUUAGUAAUAUAUGGAAACUCCUCAGUAAAUAAAGAUUAUACAUGAAAAGCUCACAGCUAACAUCAUACUGAAUGGUGAAAAACUAAAAUCUUUUCCUCUAGGAUCAGGAAUAAGAUAGCAACAUCUCUUCCUGCCACUUCUAUUCACCACAGUACUGGAAUUUCUACUCAGAAUAAUUAGGCAAGAGAAAGUAAUAAAAAGCAUGCAAAUUGGAAAGGAAAAAGUACAAAAUUUUGUUCACAGACAACAUGAUGUAAUGUGUAAAAAUCCUGAAAUUCCACAAAAUACUGGUAGAAUAAUGAAAUUCAACAAAGUUUCAGGAUACAGUAACACACACAAGUCAGUUCCAUUUCUAUAAACUAACAAUGAACAAUCUGCAAAUAAAAUUUUAAAAAGAGGCCAGGUGCAGUGGCUCACAGUUGUAAUCCCAGCACUUUGGAAGGCCAAGGCGGGUGGACCACCUGAGGUCAGGAGUUCGUGACCAGCUGGGUCAACCCCAUCUCUAAUAUAAAUAGUAAAACUCUAUCGCUAUUAAAAAUACAAAAAUUAGCUGGGCAUAGUGGCAGACACCUGUAGUCCCAGCUACUUGGGAGGCUGAGGCAGGAGAAUUGCUUGAACUUGGAAGGUGGAGGUUGCAGUCAGCUGAGACUGUGCCACUGUGCUCCAGCUUAGGAAACAGAGUGAGACACCGUCUCAAAAAAAAAGAAAGAAAGGAAAGAAAGAGAGAGAAAGAAAAGAAAAGAAAGAGAAAACAAAAGAAAAGAAAUUUUUAAAAAGAAUGACAUUUGGCUGGGUGCAGUGGUUCAUGCCUGCAAUCCCAGCAGUUUGGGAGGCCGAGGUGGGCAGAUCACCUGAGGUCACAAGUUCAAGAAUAGCCUGGUCAACAUGGAGAAACACUGUCUCUACUAAAAAUACCAAAAAGUUAGCUGGGCAUGGUGGCGCGCACCUGUGAUCCCAGGUACUUGAGAGGCUGAGGUUGGAGAAUCGCUUGAAUAAGGAAGGUGCAGGUUGCAGUGACCUGAGAUAGUGCCACUGCACUCCAGCCUGGGAGACAGAGCAAGACUCCAUCUCAAAAAAAAAAAAUUAUAUUUACAACAGCAUUAUAAAAAUUAGAAAUAAGCUUAACCAAGAGGGCAAAAGAUUUGAACACAGAAAACUACAAAACACUGUUAAAAGAAAUUAAACACAAAUAAAUGAAAAGAAAAGCUGGGUUUGCAAAUUAGAUGAUUUCAUCUUGGAAUGAUGUCAACACUACUCGAAGUGACCUAGAUUCAAUACAAUCCUUAUAAAGAUUCCAAUGACAUUUUUGAUAAACAGAAAAACCUAUCCUAAAACUCAUAUGGAAUCUCCAGGGCCCAUGAAUAGGCAAAUCAAUCUUGAAACAGAACAAAAUUAAACGUCUCAAAGCAAUUACAAAACUGCAAUAAGCCAAAAAGAAAAAAUGUGGUCAUGGCAUAAAGACACUCUUGACACACUUAUGGACCAACACAACAGAGACCUCAGAAACCAACCCUGGCAUAUAUGGUCCGAUGAUCUUCCAGAAGGAUGCCAAGACCACUCAAUGGAAAAGCACAGUUUCUUCAACAAGUGAUGAUGGGAAAAUUGUAUAACUACAUGCAAAACAAUGAAGUUGGACUCUUACCUUACACCACGUUAAAAUCAAUUCAAAGUGAAUUAUAAACCUAAAUGUAAAACUAGAACUAUCAAACUCCUAGGGAAAACAAAUUUGGAAAAUGCUUUAUGACGAUGAAUUUGUCAAUAAUUUUUAGGAUAUGACAUUAAAAGCUCAGGCAGUAAAAGCAAAAAUAUAUCAAACCUAAAAACUUCUGUACCUCAAAGGUCACAACCAACAGGGUAAAAGGCAAACUGUAAAAUUAAAAAAAAUACCAGUUGAGUGUCCCUUAUUUGAAAUGCUUGGGAUGUGUUUCAGAUUUUGUAAUAUUUGCACUAUUCUUACUGGUUGAGGAUCUCAAAUUCAAACACCUGAGUCUGAGAUGCUCCAAUAAGCAUUUCCUUUGAGUGUCAUGUUGGCACUCAAAAAGUUUCAGACUUUGGAGCAUUUGGGAUUUCAGAUUUUUGGAUCAGAGACAUUCAACCUAUAGUUGCACAUCAUGUAUCUCAUAAGAAGUGAACAUUCAGAAUGCGUAAAGAACUCCUACAGAGAGACUACCAGAAGCAGAGAGGAGCAAACACAUUUUCACACUAGGGAACCUGCUAUCUCUCCUGGAUUCCAAUUAGGGCAGAGUAAGUGCUAGUUCUCUGCCAACCCAGGAUUAGGCCCUGCAGCUGCAGUGAAAAUAAUCACAGAAGAAAACUAAGAAAUAAAAAAUGGAGAAAGUGAGACAUCAAACUAGAAUUACUAGAAACCCCCAGGAAGAAGGAAAAAAAAUCCAAGAAAACAGAAAAACAAUCAAACCAGUUAAUUAAACCUUGGUGUGACCAGAAGAUCAGGGUUUCCUAAAGGAGUGGAAAUUUAUUGACUUGAAGGCGAUUUAUUGAUUACUGAUUUGAAGAGGAAGAAAACCAUGAAUGGUCUAAAGCAAAAGCCUAGUGUCUGAAGAAGUCAGUAGGGUGAAAACAAGAGCUGACCAGAAUAUCCACAGAUGGUGACAAGUUGGCAAAGCCUUUACUAGACUACUUGUGAAGCUAACUAGAGGCCAAGGAGCCAACACUGCCCCUGUCCUUACAGAGAGACCCUACACAGGAUUCCCAGAUAUACAUGGAAGGACAACAUCUUAUCAGGUCCUCUCUGUGCAGAUGUGGUUAUCAUUCCAAAUAAUGAGCUCCAGCCCCAAGACUGUUCCAUCCUCAAUUGCUUUGAGUGGGCAAUGUAGGCUCUCCACACACGAGCUACAUGUAGGUUCCUUGGGUACCCAGAUGGGAGCCGUGAAACAUAAACCCUCCAUGGUCAGGUCAAUAUCUGUUUCCUGCCUUUUUCCCAGCAAUCCCCAGGCCUCAGCAGCAGUGGUCUACCUCUGCUGAUUCUCAUUCAGAAUCUAAACUUAGAAACAAUUAGAACCUAGACCCGAAUUCUACCUGAAAGUAACAGAAUAACAUAAUCUAUACCCUGCAGCAUGACUGUUUGCCCAACGUAAUGAGGAUGAACUGAGAGAUAAUGAAUGAUCAUGACCCUGGCCCAAGUAACAAGAAUGAACUGUGAGAUAAAUGAAUGCUCAUGACCAAAAAACCCAGCUACAACACAACAAAAUAAAGUGAUUAAAAAAUGGACAAAGAACAUUCAUCCAAAGAUGCAAAGAUGAUAUACAAAUAGCCAACAGAUACAUGAGAUAUAUGAGAAGAUGUGUAACAUCACUAAUCAUUAGAGAAAUGCAAAUAGAAACCACAAUGGGACAUCACUUCAAACCCAACAGAAAGUAACAAGUGCAGGUGAAACUGAAACACUUGAACACUGUUGGUGGAAAUAUUAACUGGCUCCUCAAAAAAAUAAAAUAAAAUGACCAUAUGAUCCAGCCAUCCAACUUCUACAGAGACAGAAUAACUAGUAGCAGGACCUCAAACAGAUAUGUGUACACCUGUGUUCACAGGAGCAUUACAUAGCCACGAGGUGGAAGAAACCAAAACGUCCAUCCAGGAAUAGAUGGAUAAACAAAAGAAUAUACAUAUAUAUAUAUAUAGAGAAAAUAUAUAUAUAUGAAGAAAUAUUAUUCAGCCAUAGAAAGGAAGAAAAUCCUGACACAUCUGCACAUAACAUGGAACCUACUUAAAAAACAAAUAUUAUAUAACCCUAGGUAUAUAAGCCAAAUUUUUAGAAACACAAAGUAGAAUAGUACUUGCCAGGAGGUGGAAGGAAGGGGAAAUUAAUAGUUGUUGAAUGGGUAUAGAGUUUUCUAAGAUAAAAAAAAAUCUAGAAAUCUGCUACACAACAAUGUAAAUAUUCUUAACUCUACAAAACUGUAUACUUACAACUGGUUAUGAUGGUAAAUUUUAAGGUAUGUGUUUGUUACCAAAAUUCGAAAUUAUAAAUUAUUUAUAAAAAAUGAUCUUUUUUGACACACGGUCUUACUCUGUUGCCCUGGCAGGAGUGGAAUGGCAUGAUCACAGCUCAUUGCAGCCUCAACCUCCCAGGCUCAAGCAACCCUCCCACCUCAGCCUCCCAAAUAGUUAGGACUACAGGUGCACACCAAGAUGUCAGGCUAAAUUUUGGUUUGGUUUUUUGUAGAGAGGGUUUUGCCAUGUUGCCCAGGCUGGUCUCAAACUCCUGGGUUCAAGCAAUCCACCUCCCUUGGACUCACACAGAGCUGAGAUUAUGAGCAUAAGCCAACAUGCCCAGCCUAUAAAAAAUUAUUUCCAAAAGCCAAAAGAUUAAUCAAACUGGAAUAUUUAGAAAUAUUUAACCCAAAAGAAGUUAGGAAAGAAUAUAUAGAAGAUCAAAAGACAGACGAAGGCCAGGCAUGGUGGCUCAUGCCUGUAAUCUGAACACUUUGGGAGGCCAAGGUGGGUAGAUUGCUUGAGCUCAGUAGUUCAAGACCAGCCUGUGCAACAUGGCAAAACCCUAUCUCUACAAAAAUAUAAAAAUUAGCCAGGUGUGGUGCCAUGCACUUGUAGUCCCAGCUACUCAGGGGGCUCAAGUGAGGAUUGGUUGGGCCUGGGAGGCAGAGGUUGCAGUGAGCCAAGAUUGCACCAUUGCACUACAGACUGGGUGACAGAACAAGACCCUGUCUUAAAAAAAAUAAACAAACAAAUAGAAAAUAAGUAGAAAAAUGGCAGACCUAAAUCCAACCUUAGCAAUGAUUAGUUACAAUGUAAGUGGACAAAUACUCUACUUAAGACAGAGACUGCCAGACCUGAGAGGAAGGCAAGACCCAACAAUAUGGCAUCCACAGAGACACAAUUUAAACACAAAGACACAAAGUAUGAGAAAAAAUAUGCUAUGCAGAUGCUAAACAUAAAAAUAUGCUAUCCAGACACUAAUCAUAAAAAGCUUCAACAGAGAUGUUAACACUAGAUGAAAGAGGCUUCAGAACAAAAUAUAUCACCAGAAAUAAACAGGGUAAUUUAAUAAAAAUAAAAGAAUCAGAGAGGAUGAUGUUACAAUUAUAAAUUGUGCCUCAAAGUGCACACAAACUACACACACACACACAGAACCUCAAAGUAUGUGAAUCAAAAACAACAGAACAAAAGCAGGAAAUUGACAAUCCAAAAUUAUAGCUGGUGAAUUAAUACUGCUCUCUCAGUAACUGACGGAACAACCAGAUAAAAAUAUAGGAAAAAUACGGAUCUAAAUGACAAAAUCCUGACCCAAAUGGUACUUGGCAGUGCCAAGAUAGACUGUAUGUCGAUGGAUUGAGAAAAGGUUCAAGCCUGAAAUAGUAUACAAAGGAUGUUGUCUGAACACUUGAAAUUAAAUUAGAAACCAACAACAAAUUGAUAUCCAGAAAAGCCUCAAAUGUCUGAAAACCAAGUAAUAAACUUUGAAAUACCCUGUGAGUCAAAAAAGUAUUCACAAGGGGAACUGGAAUGUAUUUGGAAUAAACUUGUUAUAAAAAUCUCAUUUCUGGUAGACUAAAGGUGACAAAUUCUUUCCUGCUCCUCUCUCUGUGAGAACCAAUUCCCCUUAAACCUUGACCAGACUACUGACUUAUUUGGCCAACAGAAGGUGACAAAGCUGGUAUUUGGGGACUUCAGAAGCCAGGCUGAGAAAACAGAACACUUACCCAGGAGAAAGCCAGUCACCAGGCAGGAAAUCCCACUCCCCUGAGACCUCAUGAUGGAAACCACAAGGCCAGUCCAUGACUAGCUACACGCAUUGACAUCCCCCACUGAGCCUCCAGCAACACCGACUCCCAACAACUAGUGAGCCUCCAGCAACAUCCACUCCCAACCACUAGUGAGCCACCCUGCACACCACCCCACUGUGCUUUCACACAAUCCAGCUUGGCUGCAACUGUGUGUGAGAUGAGCUGGCCACCAAGACUCUCUAAGCCAAAAAACAAGUAAUAAUGAGUUGUUUUACUUCAGAAUAGAUAACUGGAACAGAAUAUGGCAGCUGGAAAUGAGCUGCUGUGGUAAUCAGAAGCUACAAUAUGUGACACGACUGUGAGGCUGACCUGUAACUGGGCCUCAAGGAGACCAUUCAUGCAACCUGGAAGGGCAUCAAGACUCUUGGUCAGGGCCUGAAGGACGGUGAGAAAAUGUCAUUGGAAACUGGAGAAAAGGUCUGAGAGUUACUUGCUGAGGGACUGUGGGAAAACUAUGGCCACAACAUGGAAACUGAAAGGGCACUGCACCAUCUCAGGGAUCUGCCUAAGGAGACAUCUGGGAAGAACAUGGAAAGUGCUACCAGCCUCCCCUAACUGUCACUGAAUAAAUAUGACAGGAGAGGGACAUGAUCUAAAGAAGAAGGUUCAGUUUUCAAACAGAAUUUAGAGAAAAUAUAAAGAAAUAAUUUCUUGUCUCAAAAGGCCAAAGUAAAAAAAAAGAAAAGAAAAGAAAAGGAAAAAAAAUGAAAAAGAAGCCAUUGAAUACCCUAUUGACCAUAAGAAAAAGGCAGGGAAAGCUGGUCAACGGCAACCCAGGCACUGAAGGAAAAAGAACAUGGAGAAUGACAAAAGCCCAGAGGGAGGAGUAAAAGGACACAAACACCAUUCUCAGGGACCAGGACUGGGCGCCGUUUUCAGGGACCAGGACUGGGCACUAAUCACAGAACUGUAACAGGCGCCCCAUGGGAAUGACCAACUGUUAGACGGGGCCUGCAGGGCAGCACUUCCCUCUUGCCUCCCACCAAAGCUUCUAAAGGGAAAUGUCGACUGUUUUCACAGCAGUCCCCUCACUGCGGCUAAGUUUGUGGGCUCAGAUGAUAGCUCACAACAACCUGAUUCAGUCCCCACUGUGGCUGUGUGUGGGGGGUCAGAUGACAGGCCACCACAACCUGAUUCAGUCCUCACUGCAGCUGAGUGUGUGUGGGUGCAGAUGACAAGCCACCACAACCUGAUUCAGGAUUCAGUUGGGCUACUAGCCAGUGCCAUAAGGAAAACCAUUCUGGGGCUCUUGAGAGGGGCAAAGCAUAAUUUGCAUGUGGGAGAAACGUUAAUAGUUUGUGGCCAGAGGACAAGCUGUGGUUUAUUAAAGACUGCUGCAGGUUCCUACUAUGCUUCUCAUCAAGAGGUGGAAUCUAAUCACCUUUCCCCCUUGAAUCAUGGCUGGUCUCAGUGAUGAGUACAACUGGACAGUGUGGCAGGAGAGAUGCUCUGGGACUUCUGAGGGAUGAUCAUGAGAGACCUUACAGCUUCUGCCUGGGCCUCUUGGACACACACCCUGGGAGAAGCCAGACAAACCUGACUACCUGAUGCUACCAGACUGGAAGGAAGUCCGUGCUGGCCACAAAGAGAGGGCUGGGUGCCUGCUCCAUGUCCCCAGCCACUAGAGUCCUUCUGGGUGCCUGCUUCACAUCUCCAGCCACUAGAGUCCUUCCAGAUGAGACCAGGGACAUCAUGAAGCAACCAACCCACACCGCUCUGUCCAGUGUCUUGACCCAGAAAAUUGUGACAUGUAAAAAGAAUAAAUUCCUGGUUUAAGCCAGUAAGGUUAUGGGUACAUUGUUACAUCUCAGAUAAUUAAAACCUUGAAAAACUCAUGAGAGAUCACAAGUAGAACCUUGAUCUGAAACAUGGCAUGUGGCGAUUUAUAUUGAGUAUUAGGUUAAAAAUGCAAGAAUGGAGCAUAGUUAAUAUUUUACAUUAAAGCUAAAACCAUAAUUGCCUACUUAAAAUUUUCAGUUAAUUAGGUUGUCACUUUUUGUUCUUAACCAAGAAAUCAACUAGUUUUAGUCCAUAAACAGUUAGAACUGAUGCACACAUCCGUUUUUCCUUACUCAUUUUAAACAGCUAUCUGAAAUAGGAAGUGUAAUGUAAUCUUUAAAGAAUCUGAAAACAUGACAGAAAUGUUUAAACUAUAAACAUAUAUUGUAUAUGUUAGCAUAUUGUAUACAUUGUAUAUUAACAUAAGCUAGAAUCAUUGACAUAAAUUUAUAUAAACAAAAGGUAUAAAAUAUGAUAAUGUUCUUCUUGUUUUUUGUCUUUGCAUAUUUCUUUAUUGGCCCUUGUCAAACGUGACCCACUAACUCCUGAAUGCUUUGUCUCUCCCCAUGGAUUCCUAAGGAUGUCACCACAGUGUUGGCCAGAUGCACAGGUCACAGGGGACUGAACCUCAUCACCCCACAAACAUACCAUUCAGGAUGUUCCAGCAUAAGAAGAUACCUUCUACUCAAGUCCUUG
rnacentral:lncRNA from 10 species